AUUUCGUCUCAGUCUUUUGGAUAAGAUGAGUGUGGUAGCUGUUGUAUUUUUUUUUUUAUCAGCUUAAUAUCUAAUGUGUUCUCCAUUUGAAAGGGCAUUAUUAAAUGGGCUUUUGAAACUAGGGAGUGAAUAGGAAUUUGUUCUGGUCAUUUCAUACAUUGUCCUGAUGUUUUAGUAUUUUCAGAAACAGUGUUCCCCCA
rnacentral:snRNA from 1 species